CAGUCUAUAACGGGGUAAACCAGGGCUGAGAGUUUUCUCCGUCUUUAUUUUCUAUUUUUAUUAACGAUUUGGUUGACGACAUAGGACAGUGAUGCAAUAAAGUUAAACGUCUCGUCAACACCAAACUAAAGUUAACACGUGUAUAUUUGGUUGACGACAUAGGACAGUGAUGCAAUAAAGUUAAACGUCUCGUCAACACCAAACUAAAGUUAACACGUGUAUAUUUGUAUUCGCACGUUUAUUCUGCAGGAAAUUAUAACUGUUUUUAAGCGAGCACACCACGGAGGAGUAGAUGGACCUUGUGUGCCCAUCUUGUGUAUUUUACAGUUGACAUGCACUGUAAAAUGUCCUUAACAUUUAAACCAAGCAGGAGGCAUUUGUUUGAUAAAUCCACUUGUUUAAUAAGCUUGUUUUGCUGUACUUUAUAUUAUUCUUGAAAAGUAACACCAAUUAAAUACAAAGUUGUAGAUAUGAAGUUGUUGCAUUAUACCUUUGGUAUUACUUUUGGGCUGUUUCUUGUCAUCACGUGUGAAGAGGUUAUCUACAGGAAAUAUGAUUUACAGAAAUAUGUGACUUCGUUUUAUUCAGUUGAAAUCAACGACAUAUCUCGUAUUGCCUGUGCACGAUUAUGUGUAUCUACUGAAGGUUGUACAUAUUUCUAUUGGUUCAGCAAAUCCUGUUAUAUUUUAAACGCAGCCGCACCUGGUAACAGUUCAGUAAAUUUUAAAUAUAUCUACGUUAACGACGAGCUUAAAGAUAGGUGUAAUCUAGACGGGUAUAUGACCAUAUUAGGAGGAGUAUUGUGUGUCAAGAUUUAUAACACGCCAAAAAAAAAUUGGGAAGACGCCGACGGAAAGUGUCAACAAGAUGGUGGACAGUUACUUGUGAUGGAAACUAACGUCUUCUAUAUAAAAUUAUAUGCAUUGAAGACACUUAAACCAUUUUCAGCCAUAGAAUACUGGAUUGGAGGAAAUGAUCUGGCUUCAGAAGGCGAAUUUACGUGGAUAGAUGGAUCAGGUGUAAUUGCCGAGGGUUGGAAACCGGGUCAACCACAAGGUAACGAAGUCCACAAUUGUUUACAA